rnacentral:rRNA from 1 species
AAUGAACGUUAGCGGCGCGCUUGAUGCAUGCAAGUCGUACGGUCUAAAAAUUCGCAAGAGUAGUUAGAUAGUGGCGAACGGCUGAGUAACGCGUAAGUAACCUACCUCUAAGUGGGGAAUAACCUGCCGAAAGGCAAGCUAAUACCGCAUAUGCUAUAAGGAGUAUUCUUUAUAGUAAAGCUUCGGCGCUUGGAGAAGGGCUUGCGUCUGAUUAGCUAGUUGGUUGAGGUAACGGCCCACCAAGGCGAUGAUCAGUAGCUGGUCUGAGAGGACGACCAGCCAGACAGGGACUGAGACACGGCCCUGACUCCUACGGGAGGCAG